GCGGGAUUAGUAUAGUGGUAGUACGGUUGCUUCCCAAGCAACAAGUGCGAGUCCGAUUCUCGCAUCCCGCU
rnacentral:tRNA from 1 species